GCCCUUAUGACCUGGGCUACACACGUGCUACAAUGGACGAUACAAACGGUUGCCAACUCGCGAGAGGGAGCUAAUCCGAUAAAGUCGUUCUCAGUUCGGAUUGUAGGCUGCAACUCGCCUACAUGAAGCCGGAAUCGCUAGUAAUCGCGGAUCAGCAUGCCGCGGUGAAUACGUUCCCGGGCCUUGUACACACCGCCCGUCACACCACGAGAGUUUGUAACACCCGAAGUCGGUGAGGUAACCUUUUGGAGCCAGCCGCCGAAGGUGGGAUAGAUGAUUGGGGUGAAGUCGUAACAAGGUAGCCGUAUCGGAAGGUGCGGUU
rnacentral:rRNA from 1 species